CUUGAAUGAUGUGAAUUAGCCAAAUCAUACAUUCAUGUGCUCCAUGUGGUAACAAACAUUGUUUCUAAAGCUAGCUUUCGUUGUAAAACUAAGCAUGCAAGC